GAGUUUGAUCAUGGCUCAGGAUGAACGCUAGCGGCAGGCCUAAUACAUGCAAGUCGAGGGGCAGCGCGGGUAGCAAUACCUGGCGGCGACCGGCGCACGGGUGCGUAACACGUAUACAAUCUGCCUUUAACAGGGGGAGUAGCCCGGACGAAAUACCGGAGUUAAUACCCACUAAUAUAUUGUAGUGGCAUCACUUGAUAUUGAAAGCUCCGGCGGUUAGAGAUGAGUAUGCGCCUGAUUAGUUAGUUGGUGAGGUAACGGCUCACC
rnacentral:rRNA from 1 species